ACCACAAGAAGGAUUGGGGCAGACCACCUUAACCUUCCACAACUUAUAGAGCAUCCAGACGAGUAGUGGAUGGGUGAAAACACGGUCUGGUGAAGGCUCCUGGUGGUAGAGACUCGGCUGAGGUGUAGCAGCAGAAGGAAGGCUCCUUCUUCGCCUCUGGUUCCUGCAACAAGAGGGGGACACUCUCCUCCGCCUUUAACUUCAGGGCCUGUCUUUGGGUGGAUCCUGCUGGACUAUCCAGCUCCUGUGGUCGCGGCCUCCUGGCUGCCCUCCAGAGAGCUGUUUCCUGUCUGCGCCGCCUCCCAGCCUGACUAAACUAAAUAUUUUAAUAUUUUACCAAACCAAGACUUGGUGGUUCACAUGUUGCAGCUGCAGAGCCGAAUGUCGCCAUGGCCAGGAAAGUGUCUCAGAAACAAGUCAUGGAAGGUGGGAGAUUACUGGUUCUCCGGUCAGCACUGCAUCUCAGCUCUAGACCCCCAAACUCCCUUGGUGUUCCUCUGUUUGAUCGGGAGAGGAUGGAGCACAUCUGGCGGGUCCAGAAGAAGCAUGUGAAGAGCAUCCAAGAUCCACCAGGUGUUGCUCUCUACACUAAAACUGGGAGCUGACCAAGGGAGGUGUGUGUCUGCCGGUGUUUAGGUGAACCAGAGGCUCAACUUCCUUGGAGUCUUUUCAUCUGCAGCUAAACCGCUUCAUACCAGGGAGCAGUGCCAACAGCCUGAAUGUUCAGGUUUACCUGUUGGAAGGGCUACACAGGUGGAACCAGGACCAGGUGUUGCUGCCAUGGCAACUGAGAAGUCUCCUUUGUGCUGCUACUCUGGUGAUUUGCUGCAUUCUGUCAACCAAACCUACAAGAAGCUGUUUGGCAGAAAGGUGGCGCCAGAGUUCUGUCCGUCCUCAUGUUACACAGGCAAACUCGUAGGAGUGCAGUAUCUGUUCCAGCAGACUGGUCAGGAACUGCAGGACAUGAACCCUGACUCAGAGGAGACCGCCCGGUUGGUUGAGGAGCACGAUGUGGUGCUUGAUGAGGAAGAUGAGGGCUUUUCUGACCUCACAGACGAGCCACAGUGCUGGAUAUGGAGGUUCAACCUGCUCCCAGCACCUCCUCCACACUGGCCUCUGGCAUAUCUGAGGCUGGAGAUUCCUCACAUGAAACUGUGCUCAGUAACAGUUAUUUGCUGCUGUUUUCUACAUACUGUAUGUUCACGGAUGUUAUUGAAACUAAAGGUUUUAAAUAGUAAUUUUCUGUUUUCUGCUUAAUAACAUUGGCAGGCUGUUGAUGAGCAGAAUGUGGCUGGAUACCAGCAUGUGGAGGAGAAAGAUCCUAAAUAGAAUUUAGGGAACUUGCUCGUCAAUAAUUGUAAAUAGUUCUGAUUGUUUGAGUGUUUAUUGUAAAUAUUGGUCUUUUUUAAAUGGUUCUUGUAUAAUUCAUUUUC